UGGGGAAUAUUGCACAAUGGGGGAAACCCUGAUGCAGCGACGCCGCGUGAACGAAGAAGGUAUUCGUAUCGUAAAGUUCUGUCCUAUGGGAAGAUAAUGACAGUACCAUAGAAGAAAGCUCCGGCUAAAUACGUGCCAGCAGCCGCGGUAAUACGUAUGGAGCGAGCGUUGCCCGGAAUUAUUGGGCGUAAAGGGUACGCAGGCGGUUUAAUAAGUCGAAUGUUAAAGAUCGGGGCUCAACCCCGUAAAGCAUUGGAAACUGAUAAACUUGAGUAGUGGAGAGGAAAGUGGAAUUCCUAGUGUAGUGGUGAAAUACGUAGAUAUUAGGAGGAAUACCAGUAGCGAAGGCGACUUUCUGGACACAAACUGACGCUGAGGUACGAAAGCGUGGGGAGCAAACAGG
rnacentral:rRNA from 1 species